AGGAGAAAGAUCAAGCAGUUGGUGUGUUUAGACUUCAGUAUAGCCUUAGAAAACAUUAAAUAAGAUAAGAUAAGAUAACACUUUAUUGUCUGUUCACACAGAAAAUGUUCUUGCAUCGUCUGCUCCAACAGUCAACACAAAAAAACACACACA